AUUUCUUCAUUUAUUUUCUUCUUCUCUCUUCUCUCUUCUCGUUUAUUAUUUCUUCUUUUGCUCCUCCCCUGUCUUUCAUCUGGCGAUUUUGGAGAUCAAGUAAGAGGAGGAAAAUCAAGGGUGGGUUACUGGUGUUGAAGAUUGAGUAAGUGUUUUCGAUUCUGAAUUAGAGAAGAGAAUAUUUGGGGUGUUGUAUUUCUGUAAAUAAGUUGGGGUUUUCUGGAUUUGAAAUUAGGUUUGUAUAGAGAUGCUGAUGAUGAGAUCGAGUUGAUAAUGGAUGAAAAAUAAGUGGGUUGUUGUCUAAUUGCUGUUUUAAGAUGUUUCAAAGGAGAAUCGACGAAUUAAGGUUUUGUUUUAAUUAGGGUUUCGCUGAGUUCAAUUCUGAGAUGAAUUCAAAGAUGAUGAUUGAGAAAAAUAGUAGAUGGGUUUUGUUGAUGUGAAGAAUUACAUUUUUGUUGGUGUUUGAAUUAGAGAAGUUCAGAUUUGGGAAUUGAAUUAAGGUUUGGUCAAGAACAGAUGGUGAUGAAGAUCGAUAGGUUGCUGAAGUGAAUCAAUUGCUUGAGCUGAACUUUUUUUGAGGUGUUAGUACUGAACUGAAGAUAAUUGAAUUGGCGAUUUAGGGAUUGAUAUUGAGGCAGGUGGUAUGUGAUAUAGUUGAGUGUUACUCAGCUAAUAGUGGUGAUAAGUAUUAUGUGGUGCAGUGGGAAAUGUUGUUGCUAGUGAGGACAUGAAUGAAACUGAGAUAUGCUUUAGAGGAAUGCUUUGAAGUUGCAAUGGAUAUCAGUGGCUGUUAGAGACGUACUGUUGGUAGUUGGUGUUGUUUGUGUUGGCUAUAAAGGGUGCAUAACAGGUAGUGGUGCUGUAAUGAAGCCGCAGGGUUAGUGAUGUUGUUUGGGAUGUUGUAUGGAAUGGGUUAAAUUGAUAAUGAUGCUGCUGUUGGAGAGUUAUGUUGAGUGUUGGAGGUGUGACUGAAAUGAUAGUUGUGGGACUAUAGUUAGUGUUUGUUGUGAAAGCCUAAAACUGCAACUGCAGGUAAUCUUAGCUUGUAAAUUUAUAAUGAAGUUCACUUGGAUUGAUUAUAUCUCAGUGAUGAAGUUAAUGUGAAUAAACAUUGUAGAAUUGUAUGAUAAAGAACAAGGAUAUGCUGUAGGAAUUGAAGCUGUAAUAGUUUAGGCCUUGUUGAUUUGUUA